AUGAAGCAGCCAGGGCAGCUCCUCCUCCGCCUGCUGCUCCUGCUCUGCCUCGCCAAGAUCAAACGUGCAGCUGCCUGCUUUGAAGAUUGCAGCUCAGUAAAUGUAAAUGCGACGACGACAGAAAUCCAUAUUGACACAUUACCAGAAAACUUUACAAUAAGCAAUGUAACUUUUGCGAAUGGAACACUGUUCCAGAAUUCAUCACUGAACAAUUCAAUAGGAGGUCUUUCACCUGGUAUACAAUACAUUAUCAACUUUCAAAAUGGUACAGAAGCAUGUUGCAAAAACAUUACAACAAUGCCCACUCCAGUGUUUAACAUCGAGGUUUCCAAUGUCAGUACACAUGAAGUAUCUUUAACAUGGGAAAACAAAGAUGCUGCUGCUUCUGAGUACAGUUACAGGAUACUCAUUGCAAAUGAAACUUCAUCUACUAGGAACAUGAUGUCCAGUACCACAAAAGCUGUAAUUACAGGCUUAAAUCCUGGUACAUUUUACCAAUUCACAAUAUUUCCAUGCGCAGCAGAUAACAAGACUGAAGGAGACCCAAAUUCGACGUUGAUAUAUACAAGUAAGUCAUUCAGCCACAUAUAACUGUUUCUGAAUUCGCACUCUGCCAAUCAGUAUUCU
rnacentral:lncRNA from 1 species